rnacentral:rRNA from 1 species
UACGGGGGGGGCAAGCGUUGUUCGGAAUUACUAGGCGUAAAGGGCUCGUAGGCUGCCAACUAAGUCAGACGUGAAAUCCCCAGGCUCAACCUGGGAACUGCGUCUGAUACUGGAUGGCUUGAAUUCGGGAGAGGGAUGCAGAAUUCCAGGUGUAGCGGUGAAAUGCGUAGAUAUCUGGAGGAAUACCGGUGGCGAAGGCGGCAUCCUGGACCGACAUUGACGCUGAGGAGCGAAAGCUAGGGGAGCAAACGGGAUUAGAAACCCGCGUAGUCC